AUGAACGCUGGCGGCGUGCCUAAUACAUGCAAGUCGAGCGAACAGACGAGGAGCUUGCUCCUCUGACGUUAGCGGCGGACGGGUGAGUAACACGUGGAUAACCUACCUAUAAGACUGGGAUAACUUCGGGAAACCGGAGCUAAUACCGGAUAAUAUAUUGAACCGCAUGGUUCAAUAGUGAAAGACGGUUUUGCUGUCACUUAUAGAUGGAUCCGCGCCGCAUUAGCUAGUUGGUAAGGUAACGGCUUACCAAGGCGACGAUGCGUAGCCGACCUGAGAGGGUGAUCGGCCACACUGGAACUGAGACACGGUCCAGACUCCUACGGGAGGCAGCAGUAGGGAAUCUUCCGCAAUGGGCGAAAGCCUGACGGAGCAACGCCGCGUGAGUGAUGAAGGUCUUCGGAUCGUAAAACUCUGUUAUUAGGGAAGAACAAAUGUGUAAGUAACUAUGCAUGUCUUGACGGUACCUAAUCAGAAAGCCACGGCUAACUACGUG
rnacentral:rRNA from 1 species